GACGAACGCUGGCGGCGUGCUUAACACAUGCAAGUCGAACGGAAAGGCCCUGCUUGCCGGGUACUCGAGUGGCGAACGAGUGAGUAACACGUGGGUGAUCUGCCCUGCACUUCGGGAUAAGCCUGGGAAACUGGGUCUAAUACCGGAUAGGAGCCAUUUUUAGUGUGAUGGUUGGAAAGUUUUUUCGGUGUAGGAUGAGCUCGCGGCCUAUCAGCUUGUUGGUGGGGUAAUGGCCUACCAAGGCGGCGACGGGUAGCCGGCCUGAGAGGGUGGACGGCCACAUUGGGACUGAGAUACGGCCCAGACUCCUACGGGAGGCAGCAGUGGGGAAGAUUGCACAAUGGGCGCAAGCCUGAUGCAGCGACGCCGCGUGGGGGAGGACGGCCUUCGGGUUGUAAACUCCUUUCGCUAGGGACGAAGCUUUUUGUGACGGUACCUAGAGAAGAAGCACCGGCUAACUACGUG
rnacentral:rRNA from 1 species